GUUCCAUCAAGAGCGACUGAGGGACAGGCCCUGUGACGUCGCAGCAACCUUCAAUAUUGAAAGGUGCUAAUUCCUACAGUAUGUAUGCUGGGAGAUGGGUU
rnacentral:ncRNA from 2 species